rnacentral:rRNA from 1 species
UACGUAGGGAGCAAGCGUUGUUCGGAUUUACUGGGCGUAAAGGGCGCGUAGGCGGCGCGACAAGUCACUUGUGAAAUCUCCGGGCUUAACUCGGAACGGUCAAGUGAAACUGUCAUGCUAGAGUGCAGAAGGGGCAAUCGGAAUUCUUGGUGUAGCGGUGAAAUGCGUAGAUAUCAGGAGGAACACCGGUGGCGAAGGCGGGUCUCUGGGCAGUAACUGACGCUGAGGAGCGAAAGCGUGGGGAGCGAACAGG